CGAAGGGUGCAAGCGUUACUCGGAAUUACUGGGCGUAAAGCGUGCGUAGGUGGUGAGUUAAGUCUGUCGUGAAAGCCCCGGGCUCAACCUGGGAAUGGCGAUGGAUACUGGCUCGCUAGAGUGCGGUAGAGGAGAGUGGAAUUCCCGGUGUAGCAGUGAAAUGCGUAGAGAUCGGGAGGAACAUCAGUUGCGAAGGCGGCUCUCUGGACCAGCACUGACACUGAGGCACGAAAGCGUGGGGAGCAAACAGGAUUAGAUACCCUGGAAGUCCACGCCCUAAACGAUGCGAACUGGACGUUGGGAGCAAUCAGGCUCUCAGUGUCGAAGCUAACGCGUUAAGUUCGCCGCCUGGGGAGUACGGUCGCAAGACUG
rnacentral:rRNA from 1 species